CUCUCCCUCAGCCUCCACACAAUCAGCCAGUCUGCUCUCAGUCAUUUUGCCUGCGCACAGCUGAAGCUCCACAUCCUAAAACAGCCUCCUCCUCUCUCUCUCUCUCUCUCUCUCUCUCUCUCUCUCUCUCACACACAUACAUACAUAGUCGCUCACACACCUCUCAGCUACUGCAUGAACAGCAGCUGCUUGAGCUCUGAGGAAAGAGGAAAAAGAUACACACAACAAAAAAAAGAAGAAAAGAAACCAGUAUAAGAAGAUGAGGAUGAGUGUUUGCAUUGCGCCGGCAGGUUCCUGCUGCCGUCCCACACAGAUCGUACAGAGCUUCACACCCCCCUUGCUUAUGCUCCUCCUGCUCCUGAGCAGCAGCAGCAGCAGCAGCAUCGGGGCCAUCCCCUCUGCCUUCCAGCUGGCCCCGGACACCCCAGCCCCGGCCGAGCCCACCCCAACCCAGGCCACACCUCGCCCGGACCCCUGCGAGGGACGACCCUGCCUCAAUGGGGGGUUCUGCCUGGCCCUUCCAUCCGCUGGCAGGCCAGAGGACACCUGGGAGUACAUCUGUACGUGCAGCGAGGGCUUUACAGGACGCAACUGUGAGUUUUUCACAGACCCUUGUGCCAGCAGCCCCUGUCUCCAUGGAAACUGCAGUCGGAGCGAAGGCAGGGAGGAGGGGGAGCCGGCCUACACCUGUGAGUGCACUGAAGGCUACGAGGGGGAGAGGUGUGAUCAGAUCCUAUUGGACCUGCCAGCUGCUGACUGGGACCCCGCCACCCCCUCCGCUCCUGAACUGGCCACCCCCGUGGCCUCCACCACCACAGCUGCCACUCAGCCGCCACAGCCAACCACCAUCCCAUCCACCACAACGCCGCCAUCUCCUACUCUGCAGCCAUGGCAACCCAAACCUGGGCAAAGGCUGCUGGUGGUGCCGUGGGAGGCAGACAGGGUGACGGAGGGUCUGCACUGUGUGAGUCCUGAGCUGUGUGAGCUGACAUCAGGAACUCUGACUCUGUCUCUGGAAGUGCCUGAAGAGACGGCUGUAAAGGUGGUGGUGAACACCAGUGGAGCUCCAGUGCUGUGGCGUGUGAAUGAAGAGGGUUUCCUUCAUUCCUCCAUUUUGAACGGCACUACGAUGUGGUUCCUGCAGGCCCCUGAUGGACUGGUGGUGCCAGACCACUCACUGUCCCUGGGACAGAACUACUUCCUCAGUGUGUUGCGCGUGGGCGCCCCCACAGCCCCGGAGGUCACCCUGUGUCUCAACUUGACAUUGAAAGCCAGCAGCUGUGUGGAGCCGGGGAGCAGCUUCAGUGACCCUCAGUGCUCCGGGAAAGGCAAAUGUAUCACACAGCCCUCUGAGAGCACUUUCUUCUGUGAGUGUGAAGACGGCUACACUGGAAUCUUCUGUGAGGAAUUUGAUGCCUGCCAUCGCCGACCUUGUCGCAACAAUGGCACGUGCACCGAUGUUAGACAGGGGGGUGAAGGACGCAACUUCACAUGCACCUGCCCACCAGGUUAUGAAGGGGAGCACUGCCAGUUGCUGGUUGACCACUGCCUUUUUCAGCCCUGCAAGAAUGGAGCCACAUGCUUCAGCAGCCUGGCCGGGCCCAGGUGCUAUUGUCCCGAAGGCUACCAGGGUGCUACGUGUGAGCAGAAAGUGGACCCGUGUGCCUCCAGCCCCUGUCACAAUAACGGGACAUGCUACGCCCAGGGCCCUGGCCCCCUGGGGUUCGGCUGUAGCUGCACAGCAGGCUUCACCGGCCCUACAUGUGCCCAGCUGGUGGACUUCUGUGCCCUAAACCCCUGCGCCCACGGGGUCUGCCGCAGUGUGGGUAACAGCUACAGGUGUAUGUGUGUCCCAGGUUACCAUGGCUUGUACUGUGAAGAGGAGUACAAUGAGUGUCUGUCUGCACCCUGCCAGAACUAUGCCACCUGUAGGGAUCUCAUCAAUGCCUAUGAGUGUGUCUGCACACCACAGUUUGAAGGCAGACACUGUGAAAUAUACAAGGAUCCAUGUCUGAAGAUGCACUGCCAGAAUGGAGGCCACUGUGAGAGUGCAGGACUCAAUGUUUCCUGUGCCUGCCCACCUGGAUACUUGGGGGAGACGUGUGAGGUCGACAUUAACGAGUGCGAGAGCAACCCUUGUCACCAUGGAGGAACCUGCAUUGACCAGUCAAAUGGCUUCACCUGUCACUGUCCACCUGGGUGGGUGGGGCCCAGCUGUGAGAUCCACCUGCAGUGGAAGCCAGCACAACACACUGAGGACACCCUGACCAACAUGCCCCGCCACUCUCUCUAUAUAAUCAUCGGAGCGCUGUGUGUGGCCUUCGUUCUCAUGCUCAUCAUCCUCAUCGUGGGCAUCUGCCGCAUCAGCCGCAUCGAGUACCAGGGCUCGUCGCGCCAUGCCUACCAGGAGUUCUACAACUGCCGCAGCAUUGACAGCGAGUUUAGCAAUGCCAUCGCCUCCAUCCGCCACGCCAGAUUUGGCAAGAAGGUCAGGCCUGCCAUGUACGAUGCCACUCCCAUCGCCUAUGAAGACUACAGUCCUGACGACAAGCCUUUGGUUACCCUCAUCAAGACGAAGGAUUUGUAAAACACAACCAUCCCCAACUCAUCACAAGCUGUACACUGAUGUACACAUGUGCAUACACCCACCCACCCCACACACACACACACACACACACACACAAACAUAUACAGAAACUCAGCAUAAAUCUUGAAGUAUUUCUUAAGAAAAAAAAUAACAGCAAAAGAAAAUUGAAUGUAAAUUGGAGAAAGAAAAUCCAAUACUCUGUAGUAAAAAACUAAUCUGGAUUUUGAUACAUCUAUUUUCCUGUCGAAGUCCACGAUAAGGCUUUAUUGUAGCAUAAGAGCAUACUUUGCAUUACUUAAGUUAUUGAUGAUGAGCGACACUACCAGUAACCCCUGCUGUACAAGAGUGAUGACUUUAGUCUGCACCAGACUGUCUGUCUGUCGGCAGGGCCAGAAACCCACAAGCCUAAAUUUCUAAAGUAUAAACUCAGCAGACAGUGCUGACGGCAGUCCUUACAGGUGUGGUAGAAAUAGUUGCACUCCUCUAGGUGCAUACACUGUAUCUUUUUCUAUAUCUAAAAAAAACAAUCUACAGUAGGUUGCCUUACCUUGUGCAUGGUUAGAUUAGAUGUUCUCUCUGCAUUAUUUUAAAAUCCUUUGUACUUGGUUGUUGUUGUUUUCUUUCAUUGCAGUUGUAUUUCUCUCUGUCAAGAUUGUGCCAAAUAUUUUUGUUGUUGUUGUAAUUUGUGGUUAGUAGAUCUAAUACACACAUGUAUAAAAUACUAGUCACACAAAUCUUCUUUUUAACAAUACAUAUUGUCCUGUUCUUUACAUGCAAGUUUCUCAAUGGUGUAUGAAUAGUAAAGAAAGUGGGUUUACUGGAGUACUGUGUGACCCUACCAUCCUACUAUAUGUAUUUCAGUGAUAUUUAGGAUAAUGGGCAGGUAUAUUUCUCAAUGCACAGAAAAAUAGUUGGUUUUACUAAGUGUACCUGUUUAUGCCAGUGUACAAAUUAACCUCUAGUAUUGACAGUGUUAAAUAGUUUCUGCGUGAGAGUGUCUUUGCUAGCUUUAGGGAGGAGAGGGAAGAGGAGAUUGAGAGGGACGAUAUCUACUCCACAAUACAUGUGCUUCUGUGUCCUGCCAAUGGAAAACUCUCUGUCUGUGCAGCUGUGUUGUUCCUCCUAAGGUCAAGCAAUGUUUUACCAAUAGGCUCAGCUAAUCUUACUUUUUUUCUCUCAUUUUAAACACAGCGACCACAUGAUUACCUAUUAUCUAUGUUGAGUGAUAUAAACAAUAAAGAUUCAAGUGAACAUAACCUUAA